UCACGGUGCGUCUAGGGUUCCGAUUCGGCUGCGGCCGGGUGCUGGUCCGAGAGAGGCAGCCCGGCCCCCACAGGACCGGGUACACGGCGGGACAAAAGCCCGGGAGAU
rnacentral:sRNA from 1 species